rnacentral:rRNA from 1 species
GACGAACGCUGGCGGCGUGCCUAAUACAUGCAAGUCGAGCGAACCGACGGGAGCUUGCUCCCUUAGGUUAGCGGCGGACGGGUGAGUAACACGUGGGUAACCUGCCUGUAAGACUGGGAUAACUCCGGGAAACCGGGGCUAAUACCGGAUGCUUGAUUGAACCGCAAAAGGUGGCUUUUAGCUACCACUUACAGAUGGACCCGCGGCGCAUUAGCUAGUUGGUGAGGUAACGGCUCACCAAGGCGACGAUGCGUAGCCGACCUGAGAGGGUGAACUGAGACACGGCCCAGACUCCUACGGGAGGCAGCAGUAGGGAAUCUUCCGCAAUGGACGAAAGUCUGACGGAGCAACGCCGCGUGAGUGAUGAAGGUUUUCGGAUCGUAAAACUCUGUUGUUAGGGAAGAACAAGUACCGUUCGAACAGGGCGGUACCUUGACGGUACCUAACCAGAAAGCCACGGCUAACUACGUGCCAGCAGCCGCGGUAAUACGUAGGUGAAUUAUUGGGCGUAAAGCGCGCGCAGGCGGUUUCUUAAGUCUGAUGUGAAAGCCCCCGGCUCAACCGGGGAGGGUCAUUGGAACUGGGGAACUUGAGUGCAGAAGAGGAGAGUGGAAUUCCACGUGUAGCGGUGAAAUGCGUAGAGAUGUGGAGGAACACCAGUGGCGAAGGCGACUCUCUGGUCUGUAACUGACGCUGAGGCGCGAAAGCGUGGGGAGCGAACAGGAUUAGAUACCCUGGUAGUCCACGCCGUAAACGAUGAGUGCUAAGUGUUAGAGGGUUUCCGCCCUUUAGUGCUGCAGCAAACGCAUUAAGCACUCCGCCUGGGGAGUACGGUCGCAAGACUGAAACUCAAAGGAAUUGACGGGGGCCCGCACAAGCGGUGGAGCAUGUGGUUUAAUUCGAAGCAACGCGAAGAACCUUACCAGGUCUUGACAUCCUCUGACACCCCUAGAGAUAGGGCUUCCCCUUCGGGGGCAGAGUGACAGGUGGUGCAUGGUUGUCGUCAGCUCGUGUCGUGAGAUGUUGGGUUAAGUCCCGCAACGAGCGCAACCCUUGAUCUUAGUUGCCAGCAUUCAGUUGGGCAAUGGUUCAAUUAUCUCUAAGGUGACUGCCGGUGACAAACCGGAGGAAGGUGGGGAUGACGUCAAAUCAUCAUGCCCCUUAUGACCUGGGCUACACACGUGCUACAAUGGGCAGAACAAAGGGCAGCGAAGCCGCGAGGCUAAGCCAAUCCCACAAAUCUGUUCUCAGUUCGGAUCGCAGUCUGCAACUCGACUGCGUGAAGCUGGAAUCGCUAGUAUCGCGGAUCAGCAUGCCGCGGUGAAUACGUUCCCGGGCCUUGUACACACCGCCCGUCACACCGAGAGUUUGUAACACCCGAAGUCGGUGAGGUAACCUUUUGGAGCCAGCCGCCGAAGGUGGGACAGAUGAUUGGGGGCAAGCGUUGUCCGUGAAG